rfam:Zea mays cultivar B73 chromosome 7, whole genome shotgun sequence.
CCCCUUGACGAUGAAGACCUUGUUUAGUACAUACUUGCUGGAUUAGACGAAGACUUCGAUUCUGUUGUUAAUUUUUUCCUUGUUCGAGCAAAACCAAUUACGGUUAGCGAAUUACUGCACAUAUGUUAUCUUUUGAGU